rnacentral:rRNA from 1 species
UUCGCCUACGGGGCGCAGCAGUGGGGAAUAUUGCACAAUGGGGGAAACCCUGAUGCAGCGACGCCGCGUGAGUGAAGAAGUAAUUCGUUAUGUAAAGCUCUAUCAGCAGGGAAGAAAAUGACGGUACCUGAGUAAGAAGCCCCGGCUAACUACGUGCCAGCAGCCGCGGUAAUACGUAGGGGGCAAGCGUUAUCCGGAUUUACUGGGUGUAAAGGGGGCGCAGACGGCGAUGCAAGCCAGGAGUGAAAGCCCGGGGCCCAACCCCGGGACUGCUCUUGGAACUGCGUGGCUGGAGUGCAGGAGGG